rnacentral:rRNA from 1 species
GACGAACGCUGGCGGCGUGCCUAAUACAUGCAAGUCGAGCGGACCGAAGGGAGCUUGCUCCUUUAGGUUAGCGGCGGACGGGUGAGUAACACGUGGGCAACCUGCCCUGCAGACUGGGAUAACUUCGGGAAACCGGAGCUAAUACCGGAUAACACCGAAAACCGCAUGGUUUUCGGUUGAAAGGCGGCUUUUAGCUGUCACUGCAGGAUGGGCCCGCGGCGCAUUAGCUAGUUGGUGAGGUAACGGCUCACCAAGGCGACGAUGCGUAGCCGACCUGAGAGGGUGACCGGCCACACUGGGACUGGGACACGGCCCAGACUCCUGCGGGAGGCAGCAGUAGGGAAUCUUCCGCAAUGGACGAAAGUCUGACGGAGCAACGCCGCGUGAGCGAAGAAGGUCUUCGGAUCGUAAAGCUCUGUUGUCAGGGAAGAACAAGUACCGUUCGAACAGGGCGGUACCUUGACGGUACCUGACGAGGAAGCCACGGCUAACUACGUGCCAGCCGCCGCGGUAA